rnacentral:rRNA from 1 species
AUUGAACGCUGGCGGCAGGCCUAACACAUGCAAGUCGAACGAGUGGCGGACGGGUUAGUAAUGUCUGGGAAACUGCCUGAUGGAGGGGGAUAACUACUGGAAACGGUAGCUAAUACCGCAUACCAUCGGAUGUUCCCAGAUGGGAUUAGCUAGUUGGUGGGGUAAAGGCUCACCUGGGCGACGAUCCCUAGCUGGUCUGAGAGGAUGACCAGCCAAACUGGAACGGAGACACUGUCCAGACUCCUAGGGGAGGAAGCAGUGGGGAAUAUUGGACAAUGGGCGCAAGCCUGAUGCAGCCAUGCCGCGUGUAUGAAGAAGGCCUUCGGGUUGUAAAGUACUUUAAGCGGGGAGGCGUUACCCGCAGAAGAAGCACCGGCUAACUCCGUGCCAGCGGCCGCGGUAAUAC